UAGGGAAUCUUCCGCAAUGGGCGAAAGCUUGACGGAGCAACGCCGCGUGAGUGAUGAAGGUCUUCGGAUCGUAAAACUCUGUUAUUAGGGAAGAACAAAUGUGUAAGUAACUAUGCACGUCUUGACGGUACCUAAUCAGAAAGCCACGGCUAACUACGUGCCAGCAGCCGCGGUAAUACGUAGGUGGCAAGCGUUAUCCGGAAUUAUUGGGCGUAAAGCGCGCGUAGGCGGUUUUUUAAGUCUGAUGUGAAAGCCCACGGCUCAACCGUGGAGGGUCAUUGGAAACUGGAAAACUUGAGUGCAGAAGAGGAAAGUGGAAUUCCAUGUGUAGCGGUGAAAUGCGCAGAGAUAUGGAGGAACACCAGUGGCGAAGGUGACUUUCUGGUCUGUAACUGACGCUGAUGUGCGAAAGCGUGGGGAUCAAACAGG
rnacentral:rRNA from 1 species